GUGCUUACUUCAGCAGCACAAAUAAUAAAAUUGGAAGGAUACAGAGAAGAUAAAUAUGGCCCCUGCAUAAGGACGACAUACUAAUUCGUGAAGCAUUCCGUAUUAAA
ensembl:snRNA U6 U6 spliceosomal RNA